ACUCAAAUGAAUAGACGGGGACUCGCACAAGCGGUGGAGCAUGAGGUUCAAUUCGACACUAACCGAAAAACCUUACCAGGGCUUGAAAUUCACGGGAAGACGCUAGGAAACUAGCUUCGUCCGCAAGGACUCGUGAACAGGUGCUGCAUGGUUGUCGUCAGCUCGUGCUUUGAAGUGUUCCCUUAAGUGGGGUAACGAGCGCAACCCGCACUCUGUGUUUGAUCUGUCACAGAGAACCGCCCCCGUUUUUGCUCAUGAAAUGAAAAUUUCGUGGUUAAAAACGGGGGAGGAAGGAGCGGAUGACGUCAAAUCAGCAUGGCCCUCUGAUGCCCUGGGCUACACUCGUGCUACAAUGGUCGGUACAAUGGGUCGCCAACCCGCAAGGGGGAGCUAAUCCCAAAAACCGACCCCAGUUCAGAUAGGAGGCUGCAAUUCGCCUCCUUGAAGUCGGAAUCGCUAGUAAUCGCGGAUCAGCAUGCCGCGGUGAAUACGUUCUCGAGUCCUGCACACACCGCCCGU
rnacentral:rRNA from 1 species